GACGAACGCUGGCGGCGUGCUUAACACAUGCAAGUCGAACGGAAAGGCCCUGCUUUUGUGGGGUGCUCGAGUGGCGAACGGGUGAGUAACACGUGAGUAACCUGCCCUUGACUUUGGGAUAACUUCAGGAAACUGGGGCUAAUACCGGCUAGGAGCUCCUGCUGCAUGGUGGGGGUUGGAAAGUUUCGGUGGUUGGGGAUGGACUCGCGGCUUAUCAGCUUGUUGGUGGGGUGGUGGCUUACCAAGGCCUUGAAGGGUAGCCGGCCUGAGAGGGUGACCGGCCACAGUGGGACUGAGAUACGGCCCAGACUCCUACGGGACGCAGCGGUGGGGAAUAUUGCACUGUGGGCGGAAGCCUGAUGCAGCAACGCCGCGUGCGGGAUGACAGCCUUCGGGUUGUAAACCACUUUCGCCUGUGACGAGGCGUGAGUGACGGUAAUGGGUAAAGAAGCACCGGCUAACUACGUG
rnacentral:rRNA from 1 species